AUGAAGCCAUCCAUUCCUACUGUAGUCCCUUUCUUGUGGCUGUGGAUGAACUGGGAGAGCCUCGGAGAGCAGGUGGAGCAGCACCCUUCUUCCCUGAGUGUUCACGAGGGAGGCAGCGCUGUCAUCAACUGCACUUACACAGACAGUGCUUCCUUAUACUUCCCUUGGUACAAACAAGAAGCUGGAAAGGGUCCCCACCUUGGGAUAGACAUUCAUGGAAAUGUGGACAGAAAGCAGAACCAAAGGCUCACCAUUUUCUUGGAUAAGAAAGCCAAAUGCUUCUCCCUGCACAUCACAGACGCUCAGCCUGGAGACUCAGCCGUGUACUUCUGUGCAGGCCUGGUCCAUCUGGGUUACAAUUGGCAUUAUGCUUACCUCAGUGAUUCUCCCCAGACCUUAAAUUUUGAGCACUGUUUUUGCAUCAACACUAACCAUCUGUCAGGGAGAUUCCAUAUGGACUUUGAAAAGAGAUUCCAUGUAAACAUGUCUUAA